GCAUGACAAUAGUAGCAGCGAUGGCCAUGCUGGCUGCCCAGCUGCCGACGAUGACCUUGUACUGGUUGCGCAUCGCCCAAUCCUUCAUCUUCUCCCCGCUGCUGAGCGCCUCCCAGCGGUGUUCCUCCUCACGCUCCUUGUCGUCGAGGAGGGCCUUACCAGCGCCAGUCCAGGUGGACUCGUCGUACUCAACACCACGGCGCUCGCUCUGGAUGGCGUAGGUGGGGGCAACAAUAAGGACGACACCAAGUGCCUUGAGCUGGGGGGGGAGGGCGCGGAAGGCGGGCCAACGGCGGUUGGCGUACCACAUACUGGGGAGGGAGAUGGCGAGACCGGCGAGGAUACCCUCGAUCGCUCCGCGGACGGUGGCGGCAUGGUGGCGGGCGAGUUCUUCCUCAG
rnacentral:misc_RNA from 1 species